rnacentral:tRNA from 1 species
GAGAGAGGCUCGCAGCAACGAAGACUGCUAAUCUUCGCUACCUUGGUUGGACCCCAAGGCUCACUCA